AUACAACGCUAUUUACUUCUAAGGGCACCUCUAUCUUUUCUUUCCUCUGAGUAUAUACCUAUCUAUAUAUGCUUACUAUCCAGUUAAGAACUGAACUCCAAUGCUUCCACUGCAAACAGAUGAAUUGAAAUUUACUGUGUCAACUUGAAAUAAAAUGGACGUGUUUCAACAAUUUCAAAAGCUGGUUGACCGUUUUUCUGGGCCUCGCCCUCAACCUCAGACUUGCAAAAAAUGUUUAAGGAAUCAGAAGAAGGCGAAUGGGAUAGUUGAGCCACCAAGUCCCCCCAGGAGGCCUCGACGUCGCCCCGCUCAUUACCACCGUGUUGGGAUCCAUACACCACGUAAAAUAGGACCUGGCAGCUGAGAAAAGAAGUACCUAUUGUUGAUUUGUUUAUAAUUGUAUUUUAUACGAAUCUUA